UCAGGGAAGAAGAUCUGACGGUACCUGAUGAAUCAGCAUCGGCUAACUCCGUGCCAGCAGCCGCGGUAAUACGGAGGAUGCAAGCGUUAUCCGGAAUUAUUGGGCGUAAAGCGUCCGUAGGUGGCUAAUCAAGUCUGCUGUCAAAGCGUGGAGCUUAACUCCAUACCGGCGGUGGAAACUGAUGAGCUAGAGUGCGAUAGGGGUAGCAGGAAUUCCCAGUGUAGCGGUGAAAUGCGUAGAGAUUGG
rnacentral:rRNA from 1 species